AGCGAACGCUGGCGGCAGGCUUAACACAUGCAAGUCGAACGGGCGUAGCAAUACGUCAGUGGCAGACGGGUGAGUAACGCGUGGGAACGUACCUUUUGGUUCGGAACAACCCAGGGAAACUUGGGCUAAUACCGGAUAAGCCCUUACGGGGAAAGAUUUAUCGCCGAAAGAUCGGCCCGCGUCUGAUUAGCUAGUUGGUGUGGUAACGGCGCACCAAGGCGACGAUCAGUAGCUGGUCUGAGAGGAUGAUCAGCCACAUUGGGACUGAGACACGGCCCAAACUCCUACGGGAGGCAGCAGUGGGGAAUAAUUGGACAAUGGGCGCAAGCCUGAUCCAGCCAUGCCGCGUGAGUGAUG
rnacentral:rRNA from 1 species